GAACGCUAGCUACAGGCUUAACACAUGCAAGUCGAGGGGCAGCAUGGUCUUAGCUUGCUAAGGCCGAUGGCGACCGGCGCACGGGUGAGUAACACGUAUCCAACCUGCCGUCUACUCUUGGACAGCCUUCUGAAAGGAAGAUUAAUACAAGAUGGCAUCAUGAGUCCGCAUGUUCACAUGAUUAAAGGUAUUCCGGUAGACGAUGGGGAUGCGUUCCAUUAGAUAGUAGGCGGGGUAACGGCCCACCUAGUCUUCGAUGGAUAGGGGUUCUGAGAGGAAGGUCCCCCACAUUGGAACUGAGACACGGUCCAAACUCCUACGGGAGGCAGCAGUGGGGAAUAUUGGUCAAUGGGCGAGAGCCUGAACCAGCCAAGUAGCGUGAAGGAUGACUGCCCUAUGGGUUGUAAACUUCUUUUAUAAAGGAAUAAAGUCGGGUAUGGAUACCCGUUUGCAUGUACUUUAUGAAUAAGGAUCGGCUAACUCCGUG
rnacentral:rRNA from 1 species